UACGGAGGGUGCGAGCGUUGUCCGGAAUCAUUGGGCGUAAAGGGCGCGUAGGUGGCCCGGUCAGUUCGUGGUGAAAGCGCGGGGCUCAACCCUGCGUCGGCCAUGAAUACUGCCGCGGCUGGAGCACUGUAGAGGCAGGCGGAAUUCCGGGUGUAGCGGUGAAAUGCGCAGAUAUCAGGAGGAACACCAAUGGCGAAGGCAGCUCGCUGGGACGGUACUGACGCUGAGACGCGAAAGCGUGGGGAGCAAACAGG
rnacentral:rRNA from 1 species